rnacentral:ribozyme from 1 species
AAGGAAACUUGGAGAUGAUGGAUUCCACUUGUUGAGUUUGUAUGUUGUUUUUUUUUUUGCUUUUUUGUGUGUUUUUUGUUCUCUCUCUAUCUCUGU